UAUGUCAUUGCCUGCUGACG
rnacentral:misc_RNA from 1 species